rnacentral:lncRNA from 1 species
GGAAUGAUUUCAAUCAGUCACAUACAUUGGAGGACAUCAACGCCGCAGGAUGUGCUUUCGGUUCCUAUUUUAUCCUUGAUAAAAAAGAGAUUAAUGAUCUGACAGCUUAUUCAACUUUUUCCUUCAAACAAAAUCCAUAUCUCUACCUUCAAACCGAGGCCCAAAUGGAUGCUCACUCGGUUCUGGAUUGUUCACGGUUAUGUAUGAUAUCUUCUACAUGUAUCGCCUUUUCAUAUACUAACACUAAGUGCUUACUAAAGAAACUGACCUGAACUUUAAUGGAAUUCACCCAAAAAUUAUUUACUUCACAAUGAAAUGUGAGCAAGACUUCAAAGGAUCACGUUUGCUAAUAAUAAUUAUAUAAAAUAAAAAGUGUUUCUUUGUGAAUAAAAUCAAUUUAAUUCAGAUAA